GAUGAACGCUAGCGGCAGGCCUAAUACAUGCAAGUCGAGGGAGAAUGUUGGAUUCGUCUGACAUGAAACCGGCGCACGGGUGCGUAACACGUAUGCAACCUACCUUUAACUGGGGUAUAGCUCAGAGAAAUCUGAAUUAAUCCCCCAUAAGACUACGACAUGGCAUCAUGAUGUAGUUAAAGCUCCGGCGGUUAAGGAUGGGCAUGCGGUACAUUAGCUAGUUGGUGAGGGAAUGGCUCACCAAGGCUACGAUGUAUAGGGGGUCUGAGAGGAGGAUGCCCCAGACUGGUACUGAGACACGGACCAGACUCCUACGGGAGGCAGCAGUAGGGAAUAUUGGUCAAUGGACGCAAGUCUGAACCAGCCAUGCCGCGUGAAGGAUGAAGGCCCUAUGGGUCGUAAACUUCUUUUAUUAGGGAAGAAAAAACGGGAUGCGUCCUGUACUGACGGUACUUAAUGAAUAAGGAUCGGCUAACUUCGUGCCAGCAGCCGCAGUAA
rnacentral:rRNA from 1 species